CCUACCAGGCACUGUGUAAGAGCAUCAGCCUCUUUCAUCCCCAUGGCAACCCUGUGAGGUAAGUCCUAUUAGUGUCCCCAUUUUCCACAUGAGACAGCUGAGGCACAGAGAGGUGGAGUGACUCACUCGGGUCAUAUAGUUGGUAUGCUGUAGAACUAGAUUUGAACUCAGGCAGUCCCAGCCCUACUAUGUGCACUCCAUCACUACACUACACUGCUCUCCCCGAGACCUUCUCCAACUGCCUCAGCCCUUGUUGGGCUAUAGAGCCUCCUCUGUACUUCUAUCCUAGGCUUUUCAUGUCCCUAUAAUUGCUCUUAUCCCAUCUUAUUAUAAUGACCCUGUCUUCCUCACAAUGCUGAGAACUCCCCAAGGGCAGGGACUGGACUUCAUCUUGGCAUCACCCACCAUGUCUCACGCAUUGGCUGACACAUAAGCUAGUUUGUUCAAGUCUUGUCAAAUGAAUGAUCUAAUAAAUGAAUGAAUGACUAUAAUACAAUACGGGCCUAGAUCUGAAUGUGUAUCUAGCCCAAAGAGAGGGAUUCUGGCAAUGUCUGGGGUUAGGGCCUGGGCCAAGUGGAAAUUUAUAACAAAAGGGACUGGGAGAAGCUACAAACCUGAAAUCCGCUUUUUCCUGCAGUAGAUCAAGGCCACUACAGCAGCAACAAUGGCCGCUACAGCAAUCCCAGUGACCACAGCCACAAUGAUCCCCAUCGGUGAAGAGCUGGGCGCUAGGGAAGACAGACAUCAGGACAGAAGGCAGCUGCAGCCUUUUCCUGCCCGACAGGCCUCUGCAGGAAGAACACAAGAGACCCUAAGAUGCCAUCUCUUCCGUGUCGAGGAGGGAAGGAGGAAUCCAGUGUGGCCAAGGAGUCUGCAUAUGACAAGGACAUAUGCCUUUGUGGACAGCAGAAAAGUCAUGAAUGUGCAACAAAUGUUACCUGAUGAAUGCUACUUGAUAAAUUUACUUUGGGAAUGUUAAUAAAUGUGGAGCUUCUUUCUGGCAGGGUCUAAAGGCAGCAGUGUCACCAGUGGGUCAUUCGUUUGCUGUGUACUUUUGAGGAAAAUUUGCUCUUCAGGUGAAGGGAGGGGACUAAGUGAAAAGCCACAAGGACAAUGUUCAUCACAAUCUCAUUGUAACUUUGCUUUACAGACAGCCACCUUUCAAUGGGAGCUUUGUAAGAUCAUCAACCUCUCCAGCAAAAUAUUUAUUAAGCUCUGCCCAGUUUCAGAUGCUGGAAAUACAAAGAUGGGUAAGACAUGACUUUCAUCUCAGGUCUCCCACAGGCUGGUGGAAGAGAAAGACAGAGAAGAGCACCUAGCACAGUGAGAACAUGGAGAUGGGGCAUGGAGGGCGGGGCGGGGGCAGGGAAACACUGAUUCUCACCAGAAGCCUCUGAGGGAGGCGUUAGUGCCCCACGGAGCAGGUGAAGAAAUGGAAACUCAAGGGUUAAAUGAAUUCAUCAUGUUGUAUAGUGAGUCAUUUCCAGGGCUAGGAUUCAGUUGUGGUCUGUGCUUUUCAAUUCUGCCAUUAAAAUGGAAAUGGGUUUUAUGCAGUAGGGAUUUCCUUCUGCUUCUCUCACACUUGGCUGCCUGUUUUUGGCCUUGUAACCUUCUUCUGUUCAAUCAGGACUGAGGCAAAAACAACCACUUGUAUGUGCUGAGGCAACUCACAGCAAUACUUCCCAGUAAGCAGGCCACCCCCCUUUCCUGCAAACCUCUGCCUGAAAGCAGAUUUCAUCCAUCCUGGCCCUCCCAGGUCCACCCCGGGGCCUUCCUCCACUGACCAGAAAGCACAGUCAGAUGCACAGGGUCGCUGAGGCUGGUCUGGCCAGUCUGGCACGUGUACUCCCCGCUGUCGUUGUUGGCCUUGAACCUGUAGCUGGGCUGCGUGUGGGUGGGGAUGAGAUUCCCAUUGUGGAACCACUGAAUGGAGUCGCUCUCAGGGCUGUGAGUCCCCCGGCAUGUCAGAGUCACAGAGUCCUCCUGGAGCACGUUGAUCCACUGAGGCUCGAGUUUCAGCACAGCCUUUGGGGAAGCUGCUGAGGGGCAGAGAGAGGAGGUAGCGUGAGGAAGAGGAAGCCCAAGAGCCUGAGAGGCCCUGAAUCUCAGACAAAAAAGCACCUGUAGGCCUACUGGGGGCACCAAAAGCUGAGCCAGGCCCAGAAUGGUUCUGCAACUGAAGGCAGUUGCUUUGGCUCAUACAUCCCACCACAAGGGCCCCGGGGAGCCCAGGACUCAGACAGGGCAACAGGGAAGAAGGAGGGAGCAGGCAAGAGAAACACCCUCGAAAUACAUAUACUUUACCUGAGAUAUCUUCACCAGUUCCUUCUCUCUCUCACCACCAACCUCUCCCCACCACCACAGACACACAGACACCCCAUACAUACAUACUCUUUUGAGACUAACUUUUCUCCCCGAUAAACAAAGGCAUUUGGACACUAGUGGAUAAAUUUCCCCUGGGGCUGGCUGAAGAUAAGUGGGGGCUCUGGUGG
rnacentral:lncRNA from 1 species